AGAGUUUGAUCCUGGCUCAGAUUGAACGCUGGCGGCAGGCCUAACACAUGCAAGUCGAGCGGAUGAGUGGAGCUUGCUCCAUGAUUCAGCGGCGGACGGGUGAGUAAUGCCUAGGAAUCUGCCUGGUAGUGGGGGACAACGUUUCGAAAGGAACGCUAAUACCGCAUACGUCCUACGGGAGAAAGCAGGGGACCUUCGGGCCUUGCGCUAUCAGAUGAGCCUAGGUCGGAUUAGCUAGUUGGUGAGGUAACGGCUCACCAAGGCGACGAUCCGUAACUGGUCUGAGAGGAUGAUCAGUCACACUGGAACUGAGACACGGUCCAGACUCCUACGGGAGGCAGCAGUGGGGAAUAUUGGACAAUGGGCGAAAGCCUGAUCCAGCCAUGCCGCGUGUGUGAAGAAGGUCUUCGGAUUGUAAAGCACUUUAAGUUGGGAGGAAGGGCAGUAAGUUAAUACCUUGCUGUUUUGACGUUACCGACAGAAUAAGCACCGGCUAACUUCGUGCCAGCAGCCGCGGUAAUACGAAGGGUGCAAGCAUUAAUCGGAAUUACUGGGCGUAAAGCGCGCGUAGGUGGUUCAGCAAGUUGGAUGUGAAAGCCCCGGGCUCAACCUGGGAACUGCAUCCAAAACUACUGAGCUAGAGUACGGUAGAGGGUGGUGGAAUUUCCUGUGUAGCGGUGAAAUGCGUAGAUAUAGGAAG
rnacentral:rRNA from 1 species